GCUCCAUUCGGGUCGAGUUUUCGGGUCCUAUAAAAAAUAGUAACCGUGAAAAGAAAAAAAAGAUUUAGAUCAUUCAUUUUAAAAAAAAAAAGAACAGAGAAACCCUCUGUUUUCCUUUCUCUCCCUGUUUCGGCCCUUAAGCUUAGGCCACCAUCUCCGCCUCCAUGGCCAGUGGCCGGAGUUGCGUGAAAUAGGCUUUUCAGCCCUCCCCUUUCGAUUUCCUCGAAGGCUUGGCCUUCUCCACCGCGAGAUCGAGAAGAGAAAAAAAGAAGAAGAUGCC
rnacentral:lncRNA from 1 species